rnacentral:rRNA from 1 species
UGGGUAACCUGCCCUUAAACUCUGGGAUAAGCCUGGGAAACUGGGUCUAAUACCGGAUAUGACUCCUCAUCGCAUGGUGGGGGGUGGAAAGCUUUUUGUGGUUUUGGAUGGACUCGCGGCCUAUCAGCAUGUUGGUGAGGUAAUGGCUCACCAAGGCGACGACGGGUAGCCGGCCUGAGAGGGUGUCCGGCACACUGGGACUGAGAUACGGCCCAGACUCCGUACGGGAGGCAG